GACGAACCGUGCGAACGUUAUUCGGAAUCACUGGGCUUAAAGCGCGUGUAGGCGGGAGGCACGUCCGUUGCUGAAAUCCCCCGGCUCAACCGGGGAACGGGCGCGGAUACGACUCUCCUUGAGGGGCGUAGGGGGACCUGGAACUUCCGGUGGAGCGGUGAAAUGCGUUGAGAUCGGAAGGAACGCCCGUGGCGAAAGCGAGGUCCUGGACGCCUACUGACGCUGAGACGCGAAAGCCAGGGGAGCGAACGGG
rnacentral:rRNA from 1 species